GACGAACGCUGGCGGCGUGCCUAAUACAUGCAAGUCGAGCGAGCGGAACUAACAGAUUUACUUCGGUAAUGACGUUAGGAAAGCGAGCGGCGGAUGGGUGAGUAACACGUGGGGAACCUGCCCCAUAGUCUGGGAUACCACUUGGAAACAGGUGCUAAUACCGGAUAAGAAAGCAGAUCGCAUGAUCAGCUUUUAAAAGGCGGCGUAAGCUGUCGCUAUGGGAUGGCCCCGCGGUGCAUUAGCUAGUUGGUAAGGUAAAGGCUCACCAAGGCGAUGAUGCAUAGCCGAGUUGAGAGACUGAUCGGCCACAUUGGGACUGAGACACGGCCCAAACUCCUACGGGAGGCAGCAGUAGGGAAUCUUCCACAAUGGACGCAAGUCUGAUGGAGCAACGCCGCGUGAGUGAAGAAGGUUUUCGGAUCGUAAAGCUCUGUUGUUGGUGAAGAAGGAUAGAGGUAGUAACUGGCCUUUAUUUGACGGUAAUCAACCAGAAAGUCACGGCUAACUACGUGCCAGCAGCCGCGGUAAUACGUAGGUGGCAAGCGUUGUCCGGAUUUAUUGGGCGUAAAGCGAGCGCAGGCGGAAGAAUAAGUCUGAUGUGAAAGCCCCCGGCUUAACCGAGGAACUGCAUCGGAAACUGUUUUUCUUGAGUGCAGAAGAGGAGAGUGGAACUCCAUGUGUAGCGGUGGAAUGCGUAGAUAUAUGGAAGAACACCAGUGGCGAAGGCGGCUCUCUGGUCUGCAACUGACGCUGAGGCUCGAAAGCAUGGGUAGCGAACAGGAUUAGAUACCCUGGUAGUCCAUGCCGUAAACGAUGAGUGCUAAGUGUUGGGAGGUUUCCGCCUCUCAGUGCUGCAGCUAACGCAUUAAGCACUCCGCCUGGGGAGUACGACCGCAAGGUUGAAACUCAAAGGAAUUGACGGGGGCCCGCACAAGCGGUGGAGCAUGUGGUUUAAUUCGAAGCAACGCGAAGAACCUUACCAGGUCUUGACAUCUAGUGCCAUUUGUAGAGAUACAAAGUUCCCCUCGGGGACGCUAAGACAGGUGGUGCAUGGCUGUCGUCAGCUCGUGUCGUGAGAUGUUGGGUUAAGUCCCGCAACGAGCGCAACCCUUGUUAUUAGUUGCCAGCAUUAAGUUGGGCACUCUAAUGAGACUGCCGGUGACAAACCGGAGGAAGGUGGGGAUGACGUCAAGUCAUCAUGCCCCUUAUGACCUGGGCUACACACGUGCUACAAUGGGCAGUACAACAAGAAGCGAGCCUGCGAAGGCAAGCGAAUCUCUGAAAGCUGUUCUCAGUUCGGACUGCAGUCUGCAACUCGACUGCACGAAGCUGGAAUCGCUAGUAAUCGCGGAUCAGCACGCCGCGGUGAAUACGUUCCCGGGCCU
rnacentral:rRNA from 1 species